rnacentral:rRNA from 1 species
AUGGCUAGGAGCGGGAGGGAUCGAUUCCUGCGCUGCCGCCGCCGCCGGCGGCCGCAGGUGGUCCACGGUGAUGACCGGAUUAGCGCCCUAUCCGACGAUCUCCUGCUCGACAUCCUGGGCCGCCUUGACACCCGCACGGUUCUCGGCACCGGGAUGCUCUCCAAGCGCUGGGCCGGCCUCCCCCGCGAGCUCCCCGUCCUCGACUUCAGCGUCGGGGACAUACUCCCGCCGCGCUACCACCGAUGGGUCCUCCUUCAUCGGGACCCCGAGGUAGCCGGUUUCCACCACAAAUCCGGCGCGGCAAAGGUGCAGAAGGCCAUGCGUCACAUCAGGAGGUACGAGCGGCGCGCCAUGCGCGCCUUGACCAGCUCCGUGGAGCGCCUCUCGGACGCGGCGGCUGGCCGGAGGGUCAGCAGGCUGACGCUCGAGUUCUUCUCGACCCACAACACCGGCUGCAUCAACCGGCUCAUCUCCAGGGCCAUCGAUGCUUGGGAGGUCCGUGACGUCGUGGCCGUCGCUAAGCCGGUCUACUCGCAACGCCGAAAGUUCCACGCCUUCCCCAGCCAGGGCAUCUGCGACGCCCCGCACGCGUCACGCGUGCGAAGCCUCAAACUCGGAGGCUGCGCGCUCCCGCCGCUGCGCGGGCACGGCGCGCUCGCCGUGCUCGUCCUGCAGGACACGCCGAUUUCGACGCCCGUGUCGGCGUACGAGGGCAUCUUCACCUCGUGCCCGCAGCUGCAGGUGCUCCACCUCAUCUCCUGCUGCAGCGCCGGCAUUGGGCAGAUCACCGUGGACGCCCCCGGGUCAGACCUGAGGGAGCUCGUCGUCGACAACUGCGUCGGGUUCAUAGGGAUAGGCCUGCGGGCUCUUCCCAGGCUCGAGCGGCUGGCCUCCCUGGGCACCAGAGUGAGCUUCGACACCGCCUCGUUUCCCUGCCUCAGGCGAUGCAACCUCGCCCUGUGCAGGGGCAUCACGGAGGCAACGGCUCGCCGAUACUCUGUGCCACGCACGAAGCUGGAGCUUGGCUCGUUUGUGGGGUGCAUCCCGGACGUCACGGACAUGAUCAUUCGGUUCACUGGACCUGACAGAUGGAUCGUGCCGUCCGUUUCUUCGCCGGCGCUGCUACCAAAUCUCCGGCGGCUGCUGGUCGCCGACGUGCCUCGGUGCUGGGACGUCUCGUGGCCGCGUCUCCUCCUUGAGACGGCGCCUUCCCUCGAGACCCUCCAUGUCCACAUUGCCCCGCCUUGCAAAGAGGAAGAGGAGCCCAGCGGCGAUGAGAUAUCGUGGCAGCCCGCCAUGCUCGGGCACCGGCACCUCAAAGAGUUUGUGAUGGCUGGUUUUGAGGGGACGGAGAGGCAGGUUUACCUCGUCAGGUUUGUCAUGGGAGUGUGCAGCACGGCGUUGCGCCAUGUCGCCAUGCUCAAGAAGGGGCAUGUCCGGGACAAGGGGCACUGGGACUGGGAGAUGGUGACGCAGCAGCAGCAGAACUCGCAGUGGACCGACGAUGAGAAGGACAAGACGCUUAAGCAGAUCAUGAGCGGGGUUCCUUCUUCCUCAACCGCUUCUCCAGUUAUAGUUUUUGGCUGA